AAUAAUGCUAUGAGCCCUCAAGACUCACUCUGUGACAUCCAUCCUCUAGCUCAGCUCUACCUCCUAAAGAUUCCAUAACCUGUGAAACAGCAGCACUGGAGACCAGUGUUCAGUGUGUGCGCGUGAGGGGGCAUGGCUCAUUCAAACCAUCACAGGUCCCUGAGUUGAAGCCACAAUGCAAGUCUUCUGCCCAGGCCAAUGUUUCAUGAUGAACUGUGUAGAAGUAGAGAGCCAGCAUCUCAGGAUCCAGUCUGCACCUCACAGACAGCAAGAGAGAACUGCCUUAUGAAGACAAGGAUUUAA
rnacentral:lncRNA from 1 species